rnacentral:tRNA from 1 species
CAGUAUAAUAGUUUAAGUAUUUAGAAUGUAAGCUUUGGGGGUUUAUGGUCUCUUGAUGGAGUUGGCUGA